rnacentral:tRNA from 1 species
ACCUGCUAUAGUUUAUACAAAACACUGAAUUGCAAAUUCGGAAAAGAAACUAAAACUUCUAGUGAGUU